UACGAAGGGGGCUAGCGUUGCUCGGAAUCACUGGGCGUAAAGGGUGCGUAGGCGGGUCUUUAAGUCAGGGGUGAAAUCCUGGAGCUCAACUCCAGAACUGCCUUUGAUACUGAGGAUCUUGAGUUCGGGAGAGGUGAGUGGAACUGCGAGUGUAGAGGUGAAAUUCGUAGAUAUUCGCAAGAACACCAGUGGCGAAGGCGGCUCACUGGCCCGAUACUGACGCUGAGGCACGAAAGCGUGGGGAGCAAACAGGG
rnacentral:rRNA from 1 species